UGGCGGACGGGUGAGUAAUGUCUGGGAAGCUGCCUGAUGGAGGGGGAUAACUACUGGAAACGGUAGCUAAUACCGCAUAACGUCGCAAGACCAAAGAGGGGGACCUUCGGGCCUCUUGCCAUCGGAUGUGCCCAGAUGGGAUUAGCUAGUAGGUGGGGUAACGGCUCACCUAGGCGACGAUCCCUAGCUGGUCUGAGAGGAUGACCAGCCACACUGGAACUGAGACACGGUCCAGACUCCUACGGGAGGCAGCAUG
rnacentral:rRNA from 1 species